GGGGGUGUAGCUCAGUGGUUGAGUGUGUGCUUAGCAUGCACAAGGCCCUGGGUUCAAUCCCUAGCACCCCUA
rnacentral:tRNA from 1 species